AGUUUUGUGCAGUGGCAGUGUCAUAGCCAGUGAGGUUUAUCUGAGGCACGAUUAUUGCUAAUUGAAAACAGAAUGUACAUAAAUAGCAAGUCAGUUACUCCUCCAGGAAGGUCUCCUAAGAAAUCAAGAAUAGCCUUAUUUUGGAAAUAUCUCCACAGCCAUCUGUGGG
rnacentral:snRNA from 1 species